ACGUUUUAGUACCUAUUUCUCAAAUUCACAGCUUUACCUCUAUGGGAUGAUACAAUGGGAAAUCAAACUACACUUCGAGGAUUUGGUGAUUUCGACUUAGAUGAAUUGGAUUUUGGAGAUGAGGUCGAGAAGGGCGUGGAGGAAGCAAACGAGGCAUCAAGAGUGAAAAGGCGUCAUGUUCUAAAUUUUUUUUUUCUGAUGAUGAUGGUGCCACAGCCGUCAAUGAGCAUUUAUCCUCUGAAGUUCGGGAGGACUCGACAUCAGCAAAAAUAUGCACAUAAAAUUUACAAUCGA